rnacentral:rRNA from 1 species
AACGUAGGGUGCAAGCGUUGUCCGGAAUUAUUGGGCGUAAAGAGCUCGUAGGCGGUCUGUCGCGUCUGCUGUGAAAACUCAGGGCUUAACCCUGAGCUUGCAGUGGGUACGGGCAGGCUAGAGUUCGGUAGGGGAGAGCUGGAAUUCCUGGUGUAGCGGUGAAAUGCGCAGAUAUCAGGAGGAACACCGGUGGCGAAGGCGGGUCUCGUGGGCCGAUGACUGACGCUGGAGGAGCGAAAGCGUGGGGAGCGAACAGGA